rnacentral:ncRNA from 1 species
CAACCUGAACUCAGUCGUGAUUACCCGCUGAACUUAAGCAUAUCAUUUAGCGGAGGAAAAGAAACUAAAAAGGAUUCCCCUAGUAACGGCGAGUGAAACGGGAAGAGUCCAGCGCCGAAUCGAUCAGUCUUUGGCUGCUUCGAAAUGUGGCGUAUAGGUGUAGUCUUCCAGCAGUGUCGUAUGUCCGAAGUCCUUGCGAUUGAGGCCAUAAACCAGAGAGGGUGCGAGCCCCGUUCUGGAUAGCGGCGCUGUUGGUUCGACUGCUCCUUGGAGUCGGGUUGCUUGAAAGUGCAGCCUAAAGUGGGUGAUAAACUUCAUCUAAGGCUAAAUAUUGACUCGAUUGCGAUAGCGAACAAGUACCGUGAGGGAAAGUUGCAAAGGACUUUGAAGAGAGAGUUCAAGAGAACGUGAAAUCGCUGGAGUGGAACCGGAGACAGUUGAUGUUGCUUGGAGACAAUCUUUGUGGCUGAUCGCUUAGCUGUGAUCGCCGCCGGGAGUCGUUUCCUAUGCUACGCCGACGGCGUUGGCCGCUCGUUCUGGCCCGACAGUGUUGCCCAUCUCGCAAGAGACGGUGUCUUGUUGUCGGUCGUUGGUUCGUGGUGGCUAGCGUUUAGUUACGCUAGUGUGUGUGACGUCGGUGUGAAAGUCGACGACGUUUCCGACC